rnacentral:misc_RNA from 1 species
UACUCUUGACAUCCCUGGAAGCCUGUAGAGAUACGGGUGUGCCUUCGGGAACCAGGUGACAGGUGCUGCAUGGCUGUCGUCAGCUCGUGUCGUGAGAUGUUGGGUUAAGUCCCGUAACGAGCGCAACCCUUGUCCUUAGUUGCCAUCAGGUUAUGCUGGGAACUCUAAGGAGACUGCCGGUGACAAACCGGAGGAAGGUGGGGAUGACGUCGUAUCUCACUG